rnacentral:sRNA from 23 species
GUCAAUAACCCCCGCCUAAAGGCGGAGGCUUCAAAGAGCCUUUAUUGACUAGUCUCAGCAAACCUCCUCUGGGAGGCGAGCUACGUUGGUUUGGAAUGUACAGGCACCGUGGGAUGUUUAUCCUAGUCCCACGCUCUGCG